UGAGCAACCUGCCCUUGACUCUGGAAUAACAGCUGGAAACAGCUGCUAAUACCGGAUAUGACCUCUUCCGACAUCGGGCGAGGUGGAAAGCUCCGGCGGUCAAGGAUGGGCUCGCGGCCUAUCAGCUAGUUGGUGAGGUAACGCUCACCAAGGCUUCGACGAGUAGCCGGCCUGAGAGGGCGACCGGCCACACUGGGACUGAGACACGGCCCAGACCUCCGUAGGGAGG
rnacentral:rRNA from 1 species